UGCUGGAGGUAUCAGAAGUGCGAAUGCUGACAUAAGUAACGAUAAAGCGGGUGAAAAGCCCGCUCGCCGGAAGACCAAGGGUUCCUGUCCAACGUUAAUCGGGGCAGGGUGAGUCGACCCCUAAGGCGAGGCCGAAAGGCGUAGUCGAUGGGAAACAGGUUAAUAUUCCUGUACUUGGUGUUACUGCGAAGGGGGGACGGAGAAGGCUAUGUUAGCCGGGCGACGGUUGUCCCGGUUUAAGCAUGUAGGCUGGUUAUCCAGGCAAAUCCGGAUAAUCAAGGCUGAGGUGUGAUGACGAGGCACUACGGUGCUGAAGUAACAAAUGCCCUGCUUCCAGGAAAAGCCUCUAAGCAUCAGGUAACAUCAAAUCGUACCCCAAACCGACACAGGUGGUCAGGUAGAGAAUACCAAGGCGCUUGAGAGAACUCGGGUGAAGGAACUAGGCAAAAUGGUGCCGUAACUUCGGGAGAAGGCACGCUGGUGUGUAGGUGAAGUCCCUGCGGAUGGAGCUGAGACCAGUCGAAGAUACCAGCUGGCUGCAACUGUUUAUUAAAAACACAGCACUGUGCAAACACGAAAGUGGACGUAUACGGUGUGACGCCUGCCCGGUGCCGGAAGGUUAAUUGAUGGGGUUAUCCGUAAGGAGAAGCUCUUGAUCGAAGCCCCGGUAAACGGCGGCCGUAACUAUAACGGUCCUAAGGUAGCGAAAUUCCUUGUCGGGUAAGUUCCGACCUGCACGAAUGGCGUAAUGAUGGCCAGGCUGUCUCCACCCGAGACUCAGUGAAAUUGAACUCGCUGUGAAGAUGCAGUGUACCCGCGGCAAGACGGAAAGACCCCGUGAACCUUUACUAUAGCUUGACACUGAACAUUGAGCCUUGAUGUGUAGGAUAGGUGGGAGGCUUUGAAGCGUGGACGCCAGUCUGCGUGGAGCCAACCUUGAAAUACCACCCUUUAAUGUUUGAUGUUCUAACGUUGGCCCCUGACCGGGGUUGCGGACAGUGUCUGGUGGGUAGUUUGACUGGGGCGGUCUCCUCCCAAAGCGUAACGGAGGAGCACGAAGGUUAGCUAAUCCUGGUCGGACAUCAGGAGGUUAGUGCAAUGGCAUAAGCUAGCUUGACUGCGAGCGUGACGGCGCGAGCAGGUGCGAAAGCAGGUCAUAGUGAUCCGGUGGUUCUGAAUGGAAGGGCCAUCGCUCAACGGAUAAAAGGUACUCCGGGGAUAACAGGCUGAUACCGCCCAAGAGUUCAUAUCGACGGCGGUGUUUGGCACCUCGAUGUCGGCUCAUCACAUCCUGGGGCUGAAGUAGGUCCCAAGGGUAUGGCUGUUCGCCAUUUAAAGUGGUACGCGAGCUGGGUUUAGAACGUCGUGAGACAGUUCGGUCCCUAUCUGCCGUGGGCGCUGGAGAAUUGAGGGGGGCUGCUCCUAGUACGAGAGGACCGGAGUGGACGCAUCACUGGUGUUCGGGUUGUCAUGCCAAUGGCACUGCCCGGUAGCUAAAUGCGGAAGAGAUAAGUGCUGAAAGCAUCUAAGCACGAAACUUGCCCCGAGAUGAGUUCUCCCUGAGACUAUAAGUCUCCUGAAGGAACGUUGAAGACGACGACGUUGAUAGGCCGGGUGUGUAAGCGCAGCGAUGCGUUGAGCUAACCGGUACUAAUGAACCGUGAGGCUUAACCUUACAACGCCGAAG
rnacentral:rRNA from 1 species